ensembl:snRNA U6 U6 spliceosomal RNA
GUGCUUGCUUCAGCAGCACAUAUACUAAAAAAUUGGAACGAAACAGAGAAAAGAUUAGCAUGGCCCCUGCGUAAGGAUGACAUGCAAAUUCGUGAAGCAUUCCAUAUUUUU